rnacentral:lncRNA from 1 species
GAGUAACCCGCGGAGCCAGAAGAGGGAGGAAAGGAGAUGAGAUUUCAUCAUGUUGGCCAGCCUGGUCUCAAACUCCUGACCUCAAGUGACCCGCCUGCCUCAGCCUCCCAAAGUGCUGGGAUUACAGGAAUUUAGUGAUUGACAAUGGCAGAAAAAAUCCUAGAGAAGUUGGAUGUCCUUGAUAAGCAAGCAGAGAUAAUCUUGGCCAGAAGAACAAAGAUAAACAGGCUUCAGAGUGAAGGAAGAAAAACAACUAUGGCUAUACCCCUGACAUUUGAUUUUCAGUUGGAAUUUGAAGAAGCUCUUGCUACAUCCGCGUCUAAGGCAAUAUCAAAGAUCAAAGAAGACAAGUCAUGCAGCAUUACAAAAUCAAAAAUCUCAAAUUGAAAAAAAACCUAGGAAACCAUUGGAUUCUGUUGGUCUCUUAGAAGGUGAUAGAAAUAAAAGGUAAUUUAUUUUAAAAUGCUUAAUACUUUGUUCUGUUUAAUGAUGUUUCUAGUAGGACACAUUUUAUAAUUGACAGGAAUAAAUUUAUUCUGCCUUAUUAUUUAGUUCCACAGCACAAUCCAAUGAAUGGUCCAAGACUGCUUAGCCACUAGAUAUCACAUCCAGACCUUGAGUAUUGUUAAAUGGAGAGAAAGGCAUGGAAAAAUGAAUAGAGGGAAUACAAUUUUUUUUUUUAGUAAAUACACACAUUUACUUACAUGACAACAUGGACAUGAAAAAGUAGCUUUUCUUUGGAUAAAGUUCUCAUUUUUCUCAUGAACCCUUCCAUCUCUGUAUAAUGAAAAAAAUCAUUAAUCCAGUGUGUUUCAAACUUUGUUUGAAUCAAUAAUGAACAAGCACUUUAGGUUUAACUCAGUUUAAAAAUUAUAUCCUGUCUCUGCCUGACCACACUAUUCUAUCCUCUUAACAAAGCUGGGGCCACCCUAUGUUGGCAUGAAGCUGCCCUGUGGAGCUUCUUCCAGAAUUUCAACAUAGGACGUUGCAAAUACCUCUCUACCUUUGGUGUUCUCCUCAACCUACGUAAUAAUACAACUCGUCCCCACUCAAAAUCCAAAGAGGCAUAUAUAUGACUCUCUUGCUUCCACUCCUACUCUUGCUGUUUUCUCCCACAAACCAGGCAGGACGGGAUGAUCUUGUCGGUUUGAAAAGUCUGUGGGAGAGAGGUUGGUGCAGAAGUUGGCAGUGACUUCCAGGGAUAAAAGGAGGCAGACAAGAACUGACAAGCUGUAAUCAGCCCCAUGAACACUACCCUGAACUGUGUUUAUUUUCAGAAAAAAAUCUCCACAGAUGAACGAUUUUAAUAUAAAAGAAAACAAAUCGGUCAGAAAUUAUCAAUUAAGUAAGUAUAGGUCAGUAAGAAAGAAAAGCUUGCUCCCGUUGUGCUUUGAGGAUGAAUUGAAAAAUCCACAUGCCAAGAUAGUCAACGUUAGUCCAACAAAGACAGUAACUUCUCACAUGGUAAUAAGCAUAUCAUCUAUUGUUAAGUAAAUAUGUGUAGUCAUAAGACUUAUGGGAAUCACCCAUAUAUUUUAGUGACCAGAAUCUUUGAUAAAUCCUUUUUACCUCUUGGUUUCAUAUUCCAAAGUGAUAACAGCACUUAAGUUCUUAAUGCACUUUGCACAACUCCCAAACCAGGGAUUCCUUUAUACCAGCUGAAAAUUCAGUGUUUUUCUUUAUGAAGAAGCCUUUAUCAAAUUUGCUUGAUUAUAAUAGAACUGUAGAAUAAAAAGAAUUUUUUAAAAAUGGCUGUACCAAUCUAGCAGAAUGCAGUGGUGUGCACCUGUAAUCCCCGCUACUCUGGAGUCUGAGGCAGGGGAACUGCUUGAGCCCAGGCAUUUGAAUCCAGCCUGAGCAAUAUAACAAGACCCCAGUUCUAAAAUGAUGGGACCAUGACCAUGUGUCAAUUUUUCUAACAAUCUGUUUUGGCUUUUUCAACCAGAAAGUGCAUUUAUUAAAGGCUAUUUAGUAACUCAUGCUCUCUAGAGAGGCAAUAUGGCUCGAAAGCUGUCUAGUCAGGAAUCACCUAAUUAUAUAGCCCCAGACUGCUCCACUGAGGCCCAUGCUAUUGUCACAGAUAAAAGUUUACAACUCUGAUGCUGAGCAGGGAAUACUCUAAGACAUUUGCUACUGCUGUCAUUCAAAGCUAGAUGUAACUCCUACCACCCUCACUAGAAUAGUUUUCCCAAUACUUUUUCACAGUGCUUGCUUUCUCUGAACUGAAGACUUCAUAGGUGUAUCUGAAUGGCAGAGCCUAGGGCAAAUGCCUAUGUCCUAACCGCAAAGAAGCUGAUAAACAUGGUUCUUGCCUCUACCUAAGGGUACAUAGACUUGUCAAGUGGAAAAUUCCCUAAGGUGUUGGACAGACCAAAAGCAUUACAAACAUCCAUUACUAUGGCUAAAUAGGUAAUAUUGGCAUCACCAGUGGAUUGCAAAACUAGAUCUUUGUCAUCUUUUCAGUAAUCAUAGCAGACUUGGAUAUUACUGCGAUAAAAAUGUCUAUUCUUAAGUCAAUCUAUUACUUUGGCUAUUUUAUUCCACAAAUAUAUAUUGAGCACUUUUUAGGUGUCAGGUAUUGUGCUAAGUAUUAGGGUACAAUAAUAACAGUUGUAGAGAUAAUUUUUAAUUUUUUGAAUUACUUACUAGAAUAUCCAGAUUUGUAAUUUUGGCUUGUAAUCAGUUAUGUCUCUUCUGAACUUUGACUCAAUCCAUUUUUUGGUAUGCUUUUUAAUUUCUAGAACAUGGAAACCUAAGAAAUGCCAGAACAACCACCUUAUUUCUCAAUGACAGUACCCCAGAUAUUUAACAAAUAUAUUAAUUUUUUCGUAUUCCAAUUUAUUUCAAAAAACAUUUAAGGCCAAAAGUUCAAGUUUUAUCACUAACAUCUCUAUAGAAUAUUAAGAUAAGAAGGAUGUAUGUUACAUACAAGUACAGUAUUUUCAUGUAUUUGAAUAAUGCUACUGUUCAUAUUAAAUAUUUGUAUGUAGUCAUUUUUAGAAUAUUUUACAAUUUUAUUUACAUGUUUUAAAAUAUAUGGAGCUUUCUUGACUCAAUGAACUUAUGACUAAUUAUUCUUUUCUUUAAUCUACAGGAACAAAAGGACACAAAUCCCAUAAUUUUCCAUGACACAGAAUAUGUACGAAUGUUACUUUUGACAAAAAAUAGAUUUUCUUCUCAUCCUUUGGAAAAUGAAAACAUUUACCCACAUAAAAGAACAAAUUUCAUUUUAGAAAGAAAUUGUGAAAUCCUCAAAUCUAUAAUUGGCAAUCAAUCUAUUUCUCUUUUCAAACCCCAAAAAACUAUGCCUACAGUACAGAGAAAAGAUAUACAGAUCCCUAUGUCUUUUAAAGCGGGCCACACAACUGUAGAUGAUAAACUAAAGAAGAAAACUAAUAAGCAGACACUAGAAAACAGAUCUUGGAAUACACUCUAUAAUUUCUCACAGAAUUUUUCUAGCCUAACAAAACAAUUUGUGGGUUACCUUGAUAAAGCUGUUAUUCAUGAAAUGAGUGCCCAAACUGGAAAAUUUGAAAGAAUGUUUUCUGCAGGAAAACCAACGAGCAUACCCACAUCCAGUGCCUUACCUGUCAAAUGUUACUCAAAGCCUUUUAAAUAUAUAUAUGAACUAAAUAAUGUAACGCCACUGGAUAAUUUGUUAAACUUAUCAAAUGAAAUUUUAAAUGCCUCAUAAAAUAUUAUGUAUGCAGCAAUAUUUGAGUAACAAGAAGCAAAUAUCCAAGUUCCAAAAUUAUAAAAGAAAUUCUUAUCCAAAUAGUAAUGUUCUAAUUGAUCAUAUAAGAAAGCAAAGCAUAGACAUUAGAAUUAUAAGUCAGCAGUGGUCUGUUCAAGAACAAUCAACAUUUUUAGAAAAUAGUAGGACAAAAUUAGGAAAUAAUUAUCACCAAGAGGAUCUAGUUCAUGACUUUCUAUUAUCUCAAUUAGAUUGCUCAAUCAUCAGCCUUCCUAUACUAAACUCUGAUUCAGGACCAAGAAAGGCAUAGUCUGACUCUGGAAAUGCGCUGUUGGAAGCCAAAUAACAUCAAUACUCUUGUUCUAUAAUUGAAUAUCAAAUAAGACAAAUUACCAUUAAUUUAAUGACUGUGGAGUUAAUUGUAUACCAGCAUUUCAGCAAAUCAUCAUCAAUAGUAUUACAUUAGCAAUUUAUGCAAUUAAAAGGGCUUUGUAAAACUUUGAAUAGAUUUUAUUGUCAUUAGUAGCUGUUGGAACUUCAUUAUUAUAUAAUGUUUUUGCAAACUUUAACUUUUUUCUAAAUUGUUAAAUAAAAGAAUAACUAUCCUUAA